rnacentral:rRNA from 1 species
UACGUAGGGUGCAAGCGUUGUCCGGAAUUAUUGGGCGUAAAGAGCUCGUAGGCGGUUUGUCGCGUCUGCUGUGAAAUCUUAGGGCUUAACCCUGAGCUUGCAGUGGGUACGGGCAGACUAGAGUGCGGUAGGGGAGACUGGAAUUCCUGGUGUAGCGGUGAAAUGCGCAGAUAUCAGGAGGGAACACCGGUGGGCGAAGGCGGGU